GACGAACGCUGGCGGCGUGCUUAACACAUGCAAGUCGAACGGGAUUUAGUAGACAGAAACCUCGGUGGAAGAUUACUAAUGAGAGUGGCGAACGGGUGAGUAACGCGUGAGCAACCUGCCUAUGACAGUGGGAUAGCCUCGGGAAACCGGGAUUAAUACCGCAUAAAAUCGUAGAAACACAUGUUUUAACGGUCAAAGAUUUAUCGGUGUAAGAUGGGCUCGCGUCUGAUUAGCUAGUUGGAAGGGUCAAGGCCUACCAAGGCAACGAUCAGUAGGCGGUCUGAGAGGAUGAACUGCCACAUUUGAACUUAGACAUAAUCUAACCUCGGACAGAGGUUUUCAGUGCGGAAAACCGCUUCAUGCGGGCUACCUCGCGUCAUCAAGGUUUCCCCAAUUGAUAAAGUUUUUCCAACUGUAGCCUCUGUUAAAGUGUGAGACACUGUUUCAAUUCAAAGAGGACUCUCAUCCCACACAGGGCGUACUGAUCGGGUGGUUGGGAUGGGUUUCCCUU
rnacentral:rRNA from 1 species